rnacentral:rRNA from 1 species
GACGAACGCUGGCGGCGUGCCUAAUACAUGCAAGUUGAGCGCUGAAGGUUGGUACUUGUACCAACUGGAUGAGCAGCGAACGGGUGAGUAACGCGUGGGGAAUCUGCCUUUGAGCGGGGGACAACAUUUGGAAACGAAUGCUAAUACCGCAUAAAAACUUUAAACACAAGUUUUAAGUUUGAAAGAUGCAAUUGCAUCACUCAAAGAUGAUCCCGCGUUGUAUUAGCUAGUUGGUGAGGUAAAGGCUCACCAAGGCGAUGAUACAUAGCCGACCUGAGAGGGUGGACCGGCACAAUGGGACUGGGACACCGCCCAAGCUCCUAAGGGAGGCAGCAGGAGGGGAACUUCGGCAAUGGGCGAAAGGCUGACCGAACAACGCCGGGUGGCUGAAGGAAGGUUUCGGAUCGUAAAACUCUGUUGGGAGGGAAGGACGUUGGUGAGGGUGGAAAGCUCCGCAAGUGACGGUAACUGCACAGUAAGAAACGGCUAACUACGUG